rfam:Oryza glaberrima chromosome 2 Oglab02_0006_7, whole genome shotgun sequence.
AAAAAAACAAAACGUGAGUUCCCGUGCCAAUAUUUGUCUGUCUGUUUAUAUAAAAUUCUAUAAUUAAUAUUUUUAUUGUUGUUUGAUGAUAAAACAUGAUUAAUACUUUAUGCGCGACUUAUCUUUUUAAUUUUUUCAUAAUUUUUUCAAAUAAGACGGACGGUCAAACGUUGGACACGGAAACCAGCGUUUGUCUUUUUU